UUGGAGGGCAAGUCUGGUGCCAGCAGCCGCGGUAAUUCCAGCUCCAAUAGCGUAUAUUAAAGUUGUUGCAGUUAAAAAGCUCGUAGUUGAAUUUCGGGGUUAGUAGAUUGGUCAUGCCUCUGGUAUGUACUGGUCUCACUGAUUCCUCCUUCCUGAUGAUCCGUAAUGCCAUUAAUUUGGUGUUGCGGGGAAUUUGGACUGUUACUUUGAAAGAAUUAGAGUGUUUAAAGCAAGCUAACGCUUGAAUACAUUAGCAUGGAAUAAUGAAAUAGGACGUUCGAUCCUAUUUUGUUGGUUUCUAGGAUUGACGUAAUGAUUAAUAGGGAUAGUUGGGGGCAUUAGUAUUCAAUUGUCAGAGGUGAAAUUCUUGGAUUUAUUGAAGACUAACUACUGCGAAAGCAUUAGCCAAGGAUGUUUUCAUUAAUCAAGAACGAAAGUUAGGGGAUCGAAGACGAUCAGAUACCGUCGUAGUCUUAACCAUAAACUAUGCCGACUAGGGAUCGGAUGAUGUUAAUUUUUUAAUGACUCAUUCGGCGCCUUACGGGAAACCAAAGUGUUUGGGUUC
rnacentral:rRNA from 1 species